AUACGGAGGAUGCAGGCGUUAUCCGGAUUUAUUAGGUUUAAAGGGUGCGCAGGCGGUCUUUUAAGUCAGUGUUGAAAGUUUGCAGCUUAACUGUAAAAUUGGCAUUGAAACUGUAAGACUCGAAUAUGUUAGAGGUAGGCGGAAUGUGUAGUGUAGCGGUGAAAUGCUUAGAUAUUACACAGAACACCAAUUGCGAAGGCAGCUUACUAUACCAUUAUUGACGCUGAGGCACGAAAGCGUGGGUAGCGAACAGGAUUAGAAACCCCGGUAGUCC
rnacentral:rRNA from 1 species